rnacentral:rRNA from 1 species
AGUGAACGCUGGCGGUAGGCCUAACACAUGCAAGUCGAACGGCAGCACAGUAAGAGCUUGCUCUUACGGGUGGCGAGUGGCGGACGGGUGAGGAAUACAUCGGAAUCUACUUUUUCGUGGGGGAUAACGUAGGGAAACUUACGCUAAUACCGCAUACGACCUACGGGUGAAAGCAGGGGAUCUUCGGACCUUGCGCGAUUGAAUGAGCCGAUGUCGGAUUAGCUAGUUGGCGGGGUAAAGGCCCACCAAGGCGACGAUCCGUAGCUGGUCUGAGAGGAUGAUCAGCCACACUGGAACUGAGACACGGUCCAGACUCCUACGGGAGGCAGCAGUGGGGAAUAUUGGACAAUGGGCGCAAGCCUGAUCCAGCAAUACCGCGUGGGUGAAGAAGGCCUUCGGGUUGUAAAGCCCUUUUGUUGGGAAAGAAAAGCAGCAGGUUAAUACCCCGCUGUUCUGACGGUACCCAAAGAAUAAGCACCGGCUAACCUCGUG